CCCUGCCCAUAGCAGGGGGUUGGAAUGAGAUGAUACCAACACAAACCAUCCCGAGAUUCUACGAAUUGAGCACCAACCAUCCCAAGCUCUGCAGGGAGAGCAGGAGGACCCACCCCACCAUCCUCCCCAAGUGUCUCUUCAUCCCUGCAGCCCUCACCAAGGGCAAACCCUGCCAGCAGCAUCCACCCUGCUCCGGGGGGAGGGCAAACAAAACAAUUAAACUGGACCUAAGGCAACUAAAUGAGCAGGAAAAGGUGAGGGAGAAGCAGGCUGGGGCUCGGAGGAGAUGGAGCAAGCGGCACUGCUCACCUCUGGAAGGUCCUGGCUUGCAGUGCCACCAGUCAGGCUCCGUCCACGCAGGUCCCCAACCAUUGUGACACAGACACCAACUGUCCUGCCACCAUUCCAUGGGGACAGUGUCCCACUCCUCCAAAGCAGGGAAGCACAGGAAGCAGGGAAGAAACCUGAGAAAUGAGGGUGCUGGCAUCAGUGGCUGCGAGCAAACAGCGAUGCAUCCCCUGCCCCAGCAGGCUGCUGGGGGGAUUAAUUAGUAUUUGUAAAGCACUUUGAAGAUAAAUUAGACUGUGGGAGAGCUCCUGGCUUGCAGAGAGGGGGAGAUGGGGCUCAGGGAGCCCAGAUGGCAGAACAGGGCCAGAUGGACAGGGUCCUAAUUCCCGUCAAGAAUCAUUACCUGCCGCAUGAUGAGGCACCUCCAAAGAUGUGCUGUGAGCCCUGGAAAACGUGGCAGCACCAGGAGGUCAGCACCCCACAGUGUCCCUGGACAACCCAUUCCAGUGCUGGAGCACCACUUCCCUGAAACAGCUUUUCUCACAUCUAAAGAGAAUUUCUUGCA